GGGGCCGUCCAGGUUUCGACAGGGAUGAUGCACUACUGUAAGCGAGCCGUGUUUCUUGGUCUGGGGUACACGUUAACGAACUGGACUACUUAAAUAUAAUUGCAAACGAAAAUUUUGCACUAGCUGCCUAAUCGCAGCGUCAACCCUAGGCCUUAUCUCAGCCGCUUAGGAUCUUGACCUAAACCCUGCUGGGGUCUCUGGAUCAGAUGCUUUUCUAAUUUGAUUUGGUAGUAUAAUAGAAAUAGCUUGCUAGCGUGUGUGUCGUUAAACGUGCUUGUGAGCGAAUCUUAUGAAGCGACUGCGCUCGGAGAAAGCGGUAGGAAUUUGUUUUUGGACAGGGGUUCGAUUCCCCUCGGCUCCACCA
rfam:Fusibacter sp. 3D3 DNA, contig: 7.